UUAGCUGAAAAAUCAACAACACCCAUUCCCAAACAAAUGACACUUCUCUGUUUAUUUCCAGGUAGUGGGAAAGGUUAUUUUGAAUGCUUAAUAUUAAACAGGAAGCGAGCCACAAUGCUUCAUGUAUUCUCAUUUCCCUUUUCCCAGGUCAAAAAAGGCAAGAGGAGACAAGUUCUGUUUCCAUGCGGUGUGCCAGCCCCUUACUCAGAAAUGUCAAGAGAGCCCUUAAGAAAACAGAGUGGUUACUUCAGAACAGUCAGAAUGUAAAUAUAGGUUGGCCAAUGUGUUUAAAGGAAAUCUUAGAAACACUCAAGGAGACAGCCUGGCAUUUCUGAUGGGCUCCGGUCCUGCCAAAGCCAACCAGAUCUACGGUAACAACCCCACACAUUGCACUAAAAUAAAGCCAGAACCCAAGAGGGUUGAAUAAA